rnacentral:misc_RNA from 1 species
AUGAAUGGCUUUGGCCUUCAACCUUGUAAAACCUGUGGAAGCAAGAUGUGCUUUGGCGCCUCGGCGCCACAUUUAUGCAGCAAAGUAGUUUUGUCUGAAUCAAAAGCAAGAAUUA